CCCUUAGAUGUUCUGGGCUGCACGCGCGCUACACUGAUGCACUCAUCGAGUUUAUGACCUUGCCCGAUAGGGUUGGGUAAUCUUCUUAAAAUGCAUCGUGAUGGGGAUAGAUUAUUGCAAUUAUUAAUCUUCAACGAGGAAUUCCUAGUAAGCGCGAGUCAUCAGCUCGUGCUGAUUACGUCCCUGCCCUUUGUACACACCGCCCGUCGCACCUACCGAUUGAAUGACUCGGUGAAAAAUUGGGACUGUGAUUGAAAUUGCUUCAUUGCGAAUUUAAUUAUGGAAACUUUCUUUAACCUAGGCAUUUAGAGGAAGGUGAAGUCGUAACA
rnacentral:rRNA from 1 species